rnacentral:rRNA from 1 species
UGCCAAACUCUAGCCCAAUAGACCUGACCUGGAAUAACAAAGCCACUACCAAAACCCAACUAAAGCAUUUACUAGUCCCAGUAUAGGCGAUAGAAAAGACACCACUUGGAGCGAUAGAGACCACGUACCGUAAGGGAAAGAUGAAAUAAAAAUGAAACAAAUAAGCUAAAAACAGCAAAGAUCAACCCUUGUACCUUUUGCAUCAUGGUCUAGCAAGAAAAACCAAGCAAAAUGAAUUUAAGUUUGCCACCCCGAAACCCAAGCGAGCUACUUACGAGCAGCUAUUAUUGAGCGAACCCGUCUCUGUUGCAAAAGAGUGGGACGACUUGUUAGUAGAGGUGAAAAGCCAACCGAGCUGGGUGAUAGCUGGUUGCCUGUGAAACGAAUCUUAGUUCACUCUUAAUUCUUCUCCAAGGAAACCCAAAACCCUAAUGAAGCGAAUUAAGGGCUAUUUAAAGGAGGUACAGCUCCUUUAAAAAAGAAAACAAUCUCCACGAGCGGAUAAAUAACUUCUACCAAAGACUAUUGUGGGCCCUCAAGCAGCCAUCAACAAAGAGUGCGUUAAAGCUCUGUGCCUUAAAAAUACAUAAACCAUAUGACUCCCUCCCCACUAACAGGCUAACCUAUUGACAAUAGGAGAAUUAAUACUAGAAUGAGUAACCUGGGCUCCCCCUCUUCGACGCAAGCUUACAUCAGUACAUUAUUAACAAGUACCAUAUACGAUCAAUCCAACAAGCACAGUAUUAAAACCCUUGUUAACCCGACAGAGGAGCGUCCACUAAGAAAGAUUAAAACCUGUAAAAGA